AGUGUAGGUGGUUGUCCAAGUUGGAUGUGAAAGCCUUGAGCUCAACUCAAGAAAUGCAUUCAGGACUGGGCGACUAGAGGACCGGAGAGGAUAGUGGAAUUCCCAGUGUAGUGGUGAAAUACGUAGAUAUUGGGAAGAACACCAGUGGCGAAGGCGGCUAUCUGGACGGUUUCUGACACUAAGACUCGAAAGCGUGGGAGCAAACA
rnacentral:rRNA from 1 species